rnacentral:rRNA from 1 species
CAGUAGCCGCGGUAAUACGUAGGGUGCAAGCGUUAAUCGGAAUUACUGGGCGUAAAGCGUGCGCAGGCGGUUUUGUAAGACAGAGGUGAAAUCCCCGGGCUCAACCUGGGAACUGCCUUUGUGACUGCAAGGCUAGAGUACGGCAGAGGGGGAUGGAAUUCCGCGUGUAGCAGUGAAAUGCGUAGAUAUGCGGAGGAACACCGAUGGCGAAGGCAAUCCCCUGGGCCUGUACUGACGCUCAUGCACGAAAGCGUGGGGAGCAAACAGGAUUAGAUACCCCCGUAGUCCCUGUCUCUUAUAA